CGGAACACGUACGCAACCUUCCGAUAAGUGGGGAAUAGCCCAGAGAAAUUUGGAUUAAUACCCCGUAACAUAUAGAGUAGGCAUCUUCUUUAUAUUAUAGCUUCGGCGCUUAUUGAUGGGUGUGCGUCUGAUUAGGUAGUUGGCGGGGUAACGGCCCACCAAGCCUACGAUCAGUAGCUGAUGUGAGAGCAUGAUCAGCCACACGGGCACUGAGACACGGGCCCG
rnacentral:rRNA from 1 species